GUUUCUUAUUGUAAGUCGAUUCACAAUAUUGACUCGGCUCCGUUGCAAACUCCUUAUAAAUAGAUUACCUCAACUCACAAUGAUUUUCCUAAUCGAUAUUUUCUUCUCCGCCUUCAGCCCUCUACCUGAUCUCUUCGUUUUCCGAUUUAUUAACAAAAAGCUUUUCAAAUUUUCAUCCCGUCUUUCUCUCUCUCUCAGAAGAUAACGAUGCAGAUAUUCGUGAAAACUCUUACCGGGAAGACCAUUACUCUUGAGGUCGAAAGUUCUGACACCAUUGACAAUGUUAAAGCCAAGAUUCAGGACAAGGAGGGAAUUCCCCCAGACCAACAGAGAUUGAUUUUUGCUGGUAAACAGCUCGAAGAUGGUAGGACUUUGGCUGAUUACAACAUCCAGAAACAAUCUACUCUCCAUCUUGUUUUACGUCUUCGUGGUGGUAUGAAGAUCUUCGUUAAGACUUUGACUGGCAAGACAAUACUCUUUAGGUGGAGAGCUCUGACACUAUCGACAAUGUAAAGGCAAAGAUCCAGGACAAGGAGGGAAACAGAGAUUGAUUUUUGCUAGUAAACAGCUCGAAGAUGGUAGGACUUUAGCUGAUUACAACAUCCAGAAGGAAUCAACCCUUCACCUUGUUCUUCGUCUGCGUGGUGGUAUUCAGAUUUUUGUUAUACCAAAAAUAUUUGUACCAUGUCUAUCCAGGCUACUUGCUAAAUUUAUAGCUUAGACUUUGUGCUUAAA